UAUAUAUAUAUAUAUAUAUAUAUUGCAUAGUUUUAUGUAUCUAUAAAAUAAUUCAUUUUAUAUAUAUAUAUAUACAUAUACACAUACACACACACCUUUGUCUUUUGCCACUUUUUUAGUGCCAUUUUUUGAUAAACCCAUUCAACUACUACACAUUUUAGCUCAAAGUUUGGCCAGGGAAUAAAUCAUUUACUGAAUUUAACUGUGAAAUCAAAAACUAUCCAUGUAACCAAGCAGUAGUUUAAAACUAAUAUGCACAAAGUUCACCCUCCAACUGCUGCGUCUGAAUACGCUCACUCGUUUUUGUACCACUCAUGCCUUGCAUUCGAGGAACACCAGAGAUGAUAGACUUUAAAUAAAGAUCCCAAUUCAACUAAUUCGAUAAUUGAUGAUUCUUUUCAAUGAAAACAUGGCUAAAGCACAGGGAUUCCAUUCUUUUUUCUUUUUUUUAAUGCAUAACAUUGCUUGUAAAGGCCAUCAAAUGCAAAAGUAAGUAAAAAGAUGUGAUUUAGAGAUGAACACAUAAUUCAUGCUAUGCAAAAAAAAAGGUAAUUUUGAGGUGCACAACAUGUGAAUAUAUAUACAUAUAUAUUUUCUUUGUAUGCGUACAGUAUGUCAUGAAUAUUUUUGCACUGACAUAUGGACGGAUGGAUUUAUUUUUCUCCACAAAAGGGUGCUAAUCUAACGGAGGCCUUCUCCCUCACCUUUUUUGCAUGACUUGCUCAAGAUCGGACUGGUCUUUCAUGUCUUCUUCUUCUACUCCCCCUGGAACUGUUACCACUGAAGCACUGUAAUUUUCUAAUCUCCACUUGUAAGCUUUGAAAAUAAACAGGGAGGCCUCAUGUUUGCUCUUUUUUUUGUACCCCAAUUACCAAGCUCAUUGAUUUAUUGAUUGAUUGAAACUUUUAUUAGUAGAUUGCACAGUACAGUACAUAUUCCAUACAAUUGACCACUAAAUGGUAACACCCGAAUAUGUUAUUCAACUUGUUUAAGUCAGGGUCCACGUUAAUCAAUUCAUGGCACACAUCUAAAUAGUGAACAACUGCUAGCACGAGGCGCUAACAACGCAGAAGAUAAGGAUAGAUCUAUAACGCCCUUUUAAAACAGUCAAACGCUCCAUUGACAUGCAGUUAUGGUGUUUGUGAGAGCAAACCCAGAGGAGAUACUUUUUUUAAAGGCCUACUGAAAUGAGAUUUUCUUAUUUAAACGGAGAUAGCAGGUCCAUUCUAUGUGUCAUACUUGAUCAGUUCGCGAUAUUGCCAUAUUUUUGCUGAAAGGAUUUAGUAGAGAACAUCGACGAUAAAGUUCGCAACUUUUAGUCGCUAAGAGAAAAGCCUUGCCUUUACCGGAAGUCGCAGACGAUAACGUCACCUGUUGAGGGCUCCUCACAUCCUCACAUUGUUUUUAAUAGGAGCCUCCAACAAAAAGAGCUAUUCAGACCGAGAAAAGGACAAUUUCCCCAUUAAUUUGAGCGAGGAUGAAAGAUUUGUGUUUGAGGAUAUUGAUAGCGACGGACUAGAAAAAAAUAAAUAAAAAAUCAAGUUAAAAAAAACGUGAUUGCAUUGGGAUGGAUUCAGAUGUUUUUGGACACAUUUACUAGGAAAAUUCUGGGAAAUCCCUUAUCUUUCUAUUGUUUUGCUAGUGUUUUAGUGAGUUUAAUAGUACCUGAUAGUCGGAGGGGUGUGUCCACGGCUGUCUUGAGGCCAGUGUCUGAUGGAAGUCGACGGCAGCUGUAUGGACGGCACAGGCUCAGCUGAUCUCCGGUAAGUGGCGACUUUUUACCACAAUUUUCUCACCGAAACCUGCCGAUUGACAAGUUUUUCAGGAACCAUGUUCGCUUGACCGCUGUGAUCCAUAGUAAAGCUUCACCUCCGGGAAUUUUAAAGAAGGAAUCACUGUGUGUUUGUGUGGCUAAAGGCUAAAGCGUCCCAAUCCCAUCUUUCUACUUUGACUUCUCCAAUAUUAAUUGAACAAAUUGCAAAAGAUUCAGCAACACAGAUCUCCAAAAUACUGUGUAAUUAUGUGGUUAAAGCAGACGACUUUUAGCUGCGUGUGUGUGCAGCGCUAAUAUUUCCUUACAGUCAGUGACGUCACACGUACACGUCAUCAUUCCGCAACGUUUUCAACAAGAAACUCCCGGGAAAUUUUUAAUUGCAAUUUAGUAAACUAAAAAGGCCGUAUUGGCAUGUGUUGCAAAGUUAAUAUUUCAUCAUUGAUAUAUAAACCAUCAGACUGCGUGGUCGGUAGUAGUGGGUUUUAAUAGGCCUUUAAGCGUAGUAACACAUUGCCUUGCUCACAUUGCUCUCGCAACCACUAGGCUAUUUGCUUCCCGCAGUUGGAUUUUUAUUGGCCCGCAACACAUUUUAAAAGACUAAAUCAGGAGUGGGCAUUACGUCAAUCGCGAGCUACCGGUCGAUCUCGGAGGGUGUGUCAGUCCAUCCAAGCCAGGUAUUUAAAUAAAUAUAUAUAAAAAUUAGCAAUCAUCAAUCUUCACCAAGACUUCACUUUCGUCAGUUUGACAUUCUCGGCACCCGAAGAUCUCGUGAGAUGACCCCUGCUGCUGCGAGCUCAUUAUUAAGAAAAAAAUCACUGACAGGACGGAUAGAAACACUUUUUAUUUCAACAGACUCUUGGGCCGUACCUGCUGUCAAAACUCCAAAGACCGACUGCACAGUUCCUGUCUUCACCAUAAAAGACCUGCUUCAUCCUGCCUGUGCUAACAAAAUAAGACUCUCAGAAAGCUAGCAAGCUACGGAGUUUGAAGUCAAUGUAUUUCUCCCCCGCCCUCAGAGACCGCUCCCUCUCCCCGCUCGCCCACACACUCACUGACGUCACUCACCUGCUGUCAACACAUUAAAGGUCUACUGAAAUUAGAUUUUCUUAUUUAAAACGGGGAUAGCAGGUCCAUUCUAUGUGUCAUACUUGAUCAUUUCGCGAUAUUGCCAUAUUUUUGCUGAAAGGAUUUAGUAGAGAACAUUGACGAUAAAGUUUGCAACUUUUGGUCGCUCAUAAAAAGGCCUUGCCUGUACCGGAAGUAGCAGAAGAUGUGCAUGUGACGUCACGGGUUGUGGAGCUCCUCACAUUGUUUACAAUCAUGGACACCAGCAGCGAGAGCGAUUCGGAUCGAGAAAGCGACGACAUACCCAUUAAUUUGAGCGAGGAUGAAAGAUUCGUGGAUGAGGAUAGUGAAGGUGAAGGACUAGAAAAAAAAAAGGCGAGGGCUGUGGGAGCGGUUCAGAUGUUAUUAGACACAUUUACUAGGAUAAUACUGAAAAAUCCCUUAUCUGCUUAUUGUGUUACUAGUGUUUUAGUGAGAUUAUAUGGUACCUGAAAGUCAGAGGGGUGUGGCCACGAGUGUAGUGACCGCCAAUGUCUCCAGUGGGAGGAGGUAAUAGUCUGCAGCUGCAGGAGGACGCAAGCUCCGCUCACGUCUACGGUAAGAGCCGACUUAUUUGCACAAUUUUCUCACCCAAACCUGCCGGUUGACAUGUGGUCGGGAACCAUGUUCGCUUGACCGCUCUGUUCCAUAGUAAAGUUUCACCUUUGGGAAUGCAACCAAGGAAACACCGGCUGUGUUUGUGUUGCUAAAGGCAGCUGCAAUACAUCGCUUCCCACCUCCAUUUUCUCUUCUUUGACUUCUCCAUUAUUAAUUGAACAAAUUGCAAAAGAUUCAGCAACACAGAUGUCCAGAAUAGUGUGUAAUUAUGCGAUUAAUGCAGAAUACUUAUAGCUUGGAUCGGGCUGGAAGAACAUGUCCGCUACCACCGGUGACGUCACGCGCACGCGUCAUCAUACGCGUCAUCUUUCCGCGACGUUUUCAACAGGACACUUUGUGGGAAAUUUAAAAUUGCAAUUUAGUAAACUAAAAAGGCCGUAUUGGCAUGUGUUGCAAUGUUAAUAUUUCAUCAUUGAUAUAUAAACUAUCAGACUGCGUGGUCGGUAGUAGUGGGUUUCAGUAGGCCUUAAAGGGCCACACACAAACAUAUGCCGCUCUCAUAACAAAGUCUUUAAAAACGAUUAUGGGUAUUAUUAGGUCAGAUGUGGACAUGGCCACAAGAACUGAUCCCAGGUCUGCUGUUCUCCUGCCCACAAUAACUGAUCCCAGGUCAUAUGGGGACAUGGGCCGCAAGAACUGAUCUCAGGUCAGAUGUGCACCUGCCCACAAGUACUGAUCCCAGGUCAGAUGUGCACCUGCCAGGGGCGUCACUAGACCUAAUACUGUACUGGGGCACACCUGGGGCACAAAUAAUUCAUGUGAGCGUGCAAAGCGCGCAAGCAAAAACAUUUUUAGCACUUAUUUAUCAUAAACAAAUACAUAAAUAGUGCUUUAAACUAUGAAAUCAUAUCAGAUUAUGUUGUAUGGAUCUUUGAUUAACCACCUGAAAUUAACUAAUGCAUUUGACCUACUUGUGCACUUUUUUACUCCAGACUUCUAAACUGCUACUGGUAAAAGCAGAAAGGAAGAGCAAUUAAUCUUUUUGAAAUAUAUAUUGCAGUAAUCAUCUGCAAAUUUAACAUCUACAAAAGUAAAACAAAAAAUAAAGCACCCCUACAUCUCUGGGUUCUUUUAUAUUAUUUAAUUUCCAUUUAUGGCAAUGUGGCUAAUCCUAUUUUAGAUACACAAAACUAUAAAAUAUACACAAAACAAUAAAGCCACAGUAGUAGAAUAAAUGAACAACUGUUGUGUGUCUGUUCAGGGAAUCAUUUUCUGAGAAGUAAACUGGAACGUCUCCUUUUCAUUUUUGCAAAGUGGUCAAUCCCUCUGGACAGACAUGGAAAUAUUACAGUAACCGUUGUACAGUUGACCAGUGGUUCCCAACUGCUGGGUCGUGACAUAAAAGUGGAUUGUGUGUCAUUUUCAGUGAGUCGCAGUCAGAUGAGUGCAUGAAAAAAAAAAAGUUUAGGGAGAAAAAAAUGAAAUUGUGGCAACAAAACCAGAUUAUUUUAGCCUUUUUUCUAGUGACUAUUAGUGAGUAUUUUAGCAAAAGGCAAACUGACUAACAAGUUGGAGGAGGACUCAGGACAGACAUGGAAAUAUAUUUUUUAAAAAUCUAAAUGGGGCAACAAUCCCCGAUAUUUUCAGCCAUCUUUCUGAAAACAAAUACAGAAAUGUUACUAUUUUUUCUGGAAACAAAAACAGAUGCUUUAGCUGUAGCCAUUUUUCUGGUGACAAAACAAGAUUAUUUUAGUCAAAGUCACACUGAUUAACAAGACAAGUCUACUGUACUAUUUUUCUGUGAAAUAAACUUGAAUGAUUUAAAAAUUUG